GAAAUACCACCCUUUAAUGUUUGAUGUUCUAACGUGGACCCGUGAUCCGGGUUGCGGACAGUGUCUGGUGGGUAGUUUGACUGGGGCGGUCUCCUCCUAAAGAGUAACGGAGGAGCACGAAGGUUGGCUAAUCCUGGUCGGACAUCAGGAGGUUAGUGCAAUGGCAUAAGCCAGCUUGACUGCGAGCGUGACGGCGCGAGCAGGUGCGAAAGCAGGUCAUAGUGAUCCGGUGGUUCUGAAUGGAAGGGCCAUCGCUCAACGGAUAAAAGGUACUCCGGGGAUAACAGGCUGAUACCGCCCAAGAGUUCAUAUCGACGGCGGUGUUUGGCACCUCGAUGUCGGCUCAUCACAUCCUGGGGCUGAAGUAGGUCCCAAGGGUAUGGCUGUUCGCCAUUUAAAGUGGUACGCGAGCUGGGUUUAGAACGUCGUGAGACAGUUCGGUCCCUAUCUGCCGUGGGCGCUGGAGAACUGAGGGGGGCUGCUCCUAGUACGAGAGGACCGGAGUGGACGCAUCACUGGUGUUCGGGUUGUCAUGCCAAUGGCACUGCCCGGUAGCUAAAUGCGGAAGAGAUAAGUGCUGAAAGCAUCUAAGCACGAAACUUGCCCCGAGAUGAGUUCUCCCUGAGACUUUAGGUCUCCUGAAGGAACGUUGAAGACGACGACGUUGAUAGGCCGGGUGUGUAAGCGCAG
rnacentral:rRNA from 1 species